rnacentral:rRNA from 1 species
UACGGAAGGGGCAAGCGUUGUUCGGAAUCAUUGGGCGUAAAGGGCGCGUAGGUGGUUCUGUAUGUCUAUCGUGAAAGCAUACAGCUCAACUGUAUCUUGUCGGUAGAAACUGCAGGACUUGAGGCUGGGAGGGGCUGGUGGAAUUCCCUGUGUAGCGGUGAAAUGCGUAGAUAUCGGGAGGAACACCAGUGGCGAAGGCGACUUCCUGGCCUGUUCUUGACGCUGAGGCGCGAAAGCUAGGGGAGCAAACGGG